rnacentral:ncRNA from 2 species
AACAGCUUGACGGGGUGCCGGUGAUAUCCGGCUGAGAUGGCGCAGGGUGGCUUUUUUGCUACUAAGCGCUGGUCCCGCUGAACCUGAUCCGGCUAAUGCGCUGCUUAUAUAAUGAGCGCGCGGGUACCGGCGUAGGGAUCAAGCGAUGGCCGCGG